rnacentral:Y_RNA from 1 species
GGCUAGUUCAAAUGUGGUGAGUUAUCUCAAUUGAUUGUUCAUAGUCAGUUACACAUCAAACUCCUUGUCCUACUCUUUACCCUCUUCUCAUUAAUGCAAUUGAUUUGUCUUAA